rnacentral:rRNA from 1 species
CCUACGGGUGGCAGCAGUGAGGAAUAUUGGUCAAUGGGCGGGAGCCUGAACCAGCCAAGUCGCGUGAGGGAAGACGGUCCUACGGAUUGUAAACCUCUUUUGCCGGGGAGCAACGGGGUCCUUGCGAGGGCCCGCUGAGAGUACCCGGAGAAAAAGCAUCGGCUAACUCCGUGCCAGCAGCCGCGGUAAUACGGAGGAUGCGAGCGUUAUCCGGAUUUAUUGGGUUUAAAGGGUGCGUAGGCGGGCUGUGAAGGCAGCGGUCAAAUGUCGGGGCUCAACCCCGGGACCGCUCUGGAAACUGGCGGGCUGGAGUGCGGGAGAGGUAAGCGGAAUUCCUAGUGUAGCGGUGAAAUGCGUAGAUAUUAGGAGGAACACCAGCGGCGAAGGCGGCUUACUGGACCGUGACUGACGUUGAGGCUCGAAAGCGUGGGGAGCAAACAGGAUUAGAUACCCCUGUAGUC